rnacentral:rRNA from 1 species
AGCAGCCGCGGUAAUUCCAGCUCCAAUAGCGUAUAUUAAAGUUGUUGCAGUUAAAAAGCUCGUAGUUGAAUUUCGAGACCGGCUUACUGGUCGUGCUAUUGUACGUACUGGUAUAAUCGGUUUCUCCUUUCUGACGAACUAUAAUGCCAUUAAUUUGGUGUUAUAGGGAAUCAGGACUGUUACUUUGAAAAAAUUAGAGUGUUUAAAGCAGGCUCACGCUUGAAUACAUUAGCAUGGAAUAACGGAAUAGGACGUUUGAUUCUAUUUUGUUGGUUUCUAGGAUCGACGUAAUGAUUAAUAGGGAUAGUUGGGGGCAUUAGUAUUCAAUUGUCAGAGGUGAAAUUCUUGGAUUUAUUGAAGACUAACUACUGCGAAAGCAUUUGCCAAGGAUGUUUUCAUUAAUCAAGAACGAAAGUUAGGGAUCGAAGAACGAUCAGGAUACCGUCGUAGUCUUAACCAUAGACUAUGCCGACUAGGGAUCGGAUGAUGUUAAUUUUUUAAUGACUCAUUCGGCGCCUUA